GAUGAACGCUGGCGGCGUGCCUAAUACAUGCAAGUCGAGCGAACAGAUAAGGAGCUUGCUCCUUUGACGUUAGCGGCGGACGGGUGAGUAACACGUGGGUAACCUACCUAUAAGACUGGGAUACUUCGGGAAACCGGAGCUAAUACCGGAUAAUAUUUCGAACCGCAUGGUUCGAUAGUGAAAGAUGGUUUUGCUAUCACUUAUAGAUGGACCCGCGCCGUAUUAGCUAGUUGGUAAGGUAACGGCUUACCAAGGCGACGAUACGUAGCCGACCUGAGAGGGUGAUCGGCCACACUGGAACUGAGACACGGUCCAGACUCCUACGGGAGGCAGCAGUAGGGAAUCUUCCGCAAUGGGCGAAAGCCUGACGGAGCAACGCCGCGUGAGUGAUGAAGGUCUUCGGAUCGUAAAACUCUGUUAUUAGGGAAGAACAUACGUGUAAGUAACUGUGCACGUCUUGACGGUACCUAAUCAGAAAGCCACGGCUAACUACGUG
rnacentral:rRNA from 1 species